GAAAGAAGAAAAGAGAGAGAGAGAGAGAUUUGGAGUAAAAGGGGAGGAGGGAGGGGAAAAAAUGAGUGAGUUUAAGUUUAAAACUCUAAAAACUCAAUUUUUAUAUUUUUAGAGAAUAGACUAUAUUUUUGAAUUAGUCUUAAGUUCAGUUUUUGCAAAUAAUCCUACCAAACAAGUUUUUAAGGCUUAAAAUUUGAAAAUUAUUUUUGAGUUUAAAAGGUUGGAUUCAAGUAGAGUACCAAAUAUGGCUUUAUUAUUUAUAUAAUAAUUUCCAUAAGUUGACAGACUUUUCAGCUACAUUUCUUUUCCAAUAGAUUUUUAUUAGGAAAACUAAUGAAAAUGGCUUGAAAACUUUGAGUUUUAAUGAUAAGGACAAAAUAAAAGGUAAAGUAAAUAGUACCAGGAUUGACUUUUUAAUGUAAAAAUGUGGUUUUUCGUUAAAGUGAACAGUACCGGGUGCUUUUCGUUAAAGUUCCAAUUUUUAUUUGGGAUAUGUACAACAGUACAAGUCGCAUUUGCUUGACUGAAAUUGACCGACCCAACUGAUCAUCUUUGUCCUGUUGUCCUCGCCCCUUCCUGGCUUGUUUCAAGGUUCUGG
rnacentral:lncRNA from 1 species